rnacentral:rRNA from 1 species
AUGAACGCUGGCGGCGUGCCUAAUCCAUGCAAGUCGAGCGAACAGAUGAGGAGCUUGCUCCUCUGACGUUAGCGGCGGACGGGUGAGUAACACGUGGAUAACCUACCUAUAAGACUGGGAUAACUUCGGGAAACCGGAGCUAAAACCGGAUAAUAUAUUGAACCGCAUGGUUCCAUAGUGAAAGACGGUUUUGCUGUCACUUAUAGAUGGAUCCGCGCCGCAUUAGCUAGUUGGUAAGGUAACGGCUUACCAAGGCAACGAUGCGUAGCCGACCUGAGAGGGUGAUCGGCCACACUGGAACUGAGACACGGUCCAGACUCCUACGGGAGGCAGCAGUAGGGAAUCUUCCGCAAUGGGCGAAAGCCUGACGGAGCAACGCCGCGUGAGUGAUGAAGGUCUUCGGAUCGUAAAACUCUGUUAUUAGGGAAGAACAAAUGUGUAAGUAACUAUGCACGUCUUGACGGUACCUAAUCAGAAAGCCACGGCUAACUACGUG